rnacentral:rRNA from 1 species
AGUUUGAUCCUGGCUCAGGAUGAACGCUAGCUACAGGCUUAACACAUGCAAGUCGAGGGGCAGCAUUGGAGUAGCAAUACUUCAGAUGGCGACCGGCGCACGGGUGAGUAACACGUAUCCAACCUGCCGCUUACUCGGGGAUAGCCUUUCGAAAGAAAGAUUAAUACCCGAUGGUAUAAAGAGUUCGCAUGUUCUCUUUAUUAAAGAAUUUCGGUAAGCGAUGGGGAUGCGUUCCAUUAGAUUGUUGGCGGGGUAACGGCCCACCAAGUCUACGAUGGAUAGGGGUUCUGAGAGGAAGGUCCCCCACAUUGGAACUGAGACACGGUCCAAAUCCUACGGGAGGCAGCAGUGAGGAAUAUUGGUCAAUGGACGAGAGUCUGAACCAGCCAAGUAGCGUGAAGGAAGACUGCCCUAUGGGUUGUAAACUUCUUUUAUAAGGGAAUAAAGUGAGGGACGUGUCCCUUUUUGUAUGUACCUUAUGAAUAAGGAUCGGCUAACUCCGUGCCAGCAGCCGCGGUAAUACGGAGGAUCCAAGCGUUAUCCGGAUUUAUUGGGUUUAAAGGGAGCGUAGGUUGACCUAUAAGUCAGCUGUGAAAGUUUACGGCUCAACCGUGAAAUUGCAGUUGAUACUGUAUGUCUUGAGUGUACAAGAGGUGGGCGGAAUUCGUGGUGUAGCGGUGAAAUGCUUAGAUAUCACGAAGAACUCCAAUUGCGAAGGCAGCUCACUGGGGUACAACUGACACUGAGGCUCGAAAGUGUGGGUAUCAAACAGGAUUAGAUACCCUGGUAGUCCACACAGUAAACGAUGAAUACUCGCUGUUUGCGAUAUACAGUAAGCGGCCAAGCGAAAGCAUUAAGUAUUCCACCUGGGGAGUACGCCGGCAACGGUGAAACUCAAAGGAAUUGACGGGGGCCCGCACAAGCGGAGGAACAUGUGGUUUAAUUCGAUGAUACGCGAGGAACCUUACCCGGGCUUGAAUUGCAGAGGAACAUAGUUGAAAGAUUAUGGCCGCAAGGUCUCUGUGAAGGUGCUGCAUGGUUGUCGUCAGCUCGUGCCGUGAGGUGUCGGCCUAAGUGCCAUAACGAGCGCAACCCUUAUCAUUAGUUACUAACAGGUCAUGCUGAGGACUCUAGUGAGACUGCCGUCGUAAGAUGUGAGGAANGUGGA